GUGAAUGGCGCUGGUUCCCUGAGGGAAGGGCCUAGGGGAGAGCGGCGCCGACCGGGACCGGAGCCCCAGGGCGGCUGCACGGCAGACAUGGCGUCCUGCCACAAAGUACUGCUGCUGCUGGACACCGCGGGCAGCGCCGCUCGCCACAGCCGGGUCCGGCGGGCCGCCCUGCGCCUCCUCACCUACCUGAGUUGCCGAUUCGGCCUAGCCAGGGUCCACUGGGCCUUCAAGUUCUUCGACUCGCAGGGGGCGCGGAGCCGGCCCUCCCGCGUGUCUGACUUCCGCGAGCUGGGGGCUCGCUCGUGGGAGGACUUUGAGGAAGAGCUGGAGGCCAGGCUCGAGGAUCGCGCCCACCUGCCCGGCCCAGCGCCCAGGGCCACCCACACGCACAGCGCCCUGAUGGAGACGCUGCUAGACUACCAGUGGGACCGGCCCGAGAUCACGUCGCCCACGAAGCCGAUCCUGAGGAGCAGCGGGAGGCGGCUAGUGGACGUGGAGAGCGAGGCCAAGGAGGCCGAGAGCGCGCUCGGGGGCUUUGUGAAUGCCGUCUUCCUCCUGGCCCCCUGUCCGCAUUCGCAGAGGGAGCUGCUGCAGUUCGUGUCUGGGUGCGAGGCCCAGACCCAGCGCCUGUCGCCUACCCCCAAGCAGGUGAUGGAGAAGUUGUUGCCCAAGAGAGUCCAGGAAGUCAUGAUCGCCCGAAAAAUCACCUUGUACUGGGUGGAUACCACUGAACGGUCUCAGUUAUGGGAGUCCCUAGACCACCUUGGGUACUGGACAGUUUGUGAACUGCUCCGCCAUGGAGGAGGUACCGUCUUGCCAUCUGAAUCUUUCAGCGGGGAUUUUACUAAAGCUGGAGAAACACUGCUCAGGGGUGAAAGAAAGCUGUCAAGUGAACCUCAUUUCUGUCCGUGGAUUUCAACUCUGCCAACUGAGGCCACUUUAAACCGCUUGCUCUAUAAUUCUCCUGGGUAUGAAGCCUUGUUUCCACAGAUAGAAGGAACAUUAUUUCUCCCUGUUGAAGGCAAAGAGAUUCAAGAAACAUGGACAGUCACCCUAGAGCCCUUGGCCAUGCAUCAGAGACAUUUUCAGAAACCAGUCAGAAUUUUUCUAAAAGGCUCAGCAGCCCAGUGGUCUCUCCCGAUGAGCAGCACUUUGGGGACUGACAGCUGGAUGUUACAAAGUCCAGAGGAGAACACGUCAACUCAAAAGCUGUUAUUUCAGCAGCUGGUAAGCAGGCUGACUGCUGAAGAGUUACAUCUGGUUGCCGAUGUGGACCCUGGUGACGGCUGGCCCCCCAUCACUGGUGUUAUUUCCCCGCUGUCUGCCAACGCUAUGGUUCUCACUGUGUUCCGCACCAAGGAGGCUGACUUUCAAAGACAUUUUUUCCAAGCGAUUGUGGCCCAGGGCCCCCAGGAUACAGCUUCCCUUUUCUCAGAUGUUGUGGAUUGUGUAUUAAAUCAGAUUGAUAAUUCACUUGAAGAUCCUGCUACUGCUGCUCCUCCUGUUCCAGAGUGGGCCCAGCAGGAGAUUGAGCGCACCGUUCGCUGGAGUCCGGCUGUUGUGGAAAAAUGGUUUCCUUUCUCUAAUAUCAGUGGUGCCAGUUCAACUUUGAUGGAGUCAUUUUGGUUACUACAGGCUGCCUCAGCUAAUAAGGAAGAGUCUUAUAAAACUGAAAGUGAAUUAACGCAUUGUCUCUCCGAGCUCUACCAGAGAAAAUCUUGUGAAGAAUCCACCGUAGCUAAUCAAGAAGACAACAAAAAGAAACGGAGUGUCCCUCGCACUCCAGUGAGGCAGAAGAUGAAUGCUAUGUGCCGUUCCUUAAAGAUGUUGAAUGUUGCAAGGCUGAAUGUAAAGGCUCAGAAGUUACUUCCAGAUGGCAGCCCAGACACAGCUGGGGAGAAAGGGAUCCAAAAAAUAGCCAGUGGAAAAACAGCAGAUAAAUUGCAAGAAAGAGGAAGAACAUUAAGAAGUUCCAAACCUAAAGAUUUUAAAACUGAGGAGGAGCUACAAUCUUACAUACGUGAAAAUUAUCAAAAGACUGUGGCCACAGGAGAAAUCAAGUUGUAUUCAUGUGCUCGGAACAUGAUCUCAACUAUUAAAAUGUUCCUAAAAUCAAAAGACACCAAAGAAUUAGAAGUGAACUGCCUGAAUCAAGUAAAAAGUAACCUCUUAAAAACUAGCAAAAGCCUUCGACAGAACCUAGGGAAAAAACUGGACAAGGAAGACAAACUCAGAGAGUGCCAGCUUCAGGUGUUUCUUCGUUUGGAGAUGUGUCUGCAGUGCCCUUCAAUACUUGAAAGUACAGAUGAUAUGGAGCAAAUAGUGGAGGAGAUGACAGAUUUGCUGCGCACGGUGUGUUUAACUGAGGACUCAGCUUACCUAGCAAAGUUUCUGGAGGAAAUUUUGAGACUGUAUAUUGACUCUAUCCCAAAGACACUUGGAAAUCUUUAUGACAGCCUAGGGUUUAUGAUUCCUCAGAAGCUGGCUGGUGUUCUUCCUACAGAUUUUUUCAGUGAUGACUCUAUGACACAAGAGAACAAAUCACCACUUCUUUCUGUGCCUUUUGUGGCAAGUGCUCAUAGAUCAGUGUCAGGCAGCACUGAAUUUGACCAACUGGAGGAGCUUCGUACCAGAUCAGCCAAAAAGAGAAGGAAAAAUGCAUUAAUAAGACACAAAAGCAUUGCUGAGAUUUCACAGAAUCUUCGACAAAUUGAAAUUCCCAAAGUGUCCAAGAGAGCUACAAAAAAAGAGAACUCUCACCCUGCUCUUCAGCAGCCUCCACUCCCAGUGAAAGAUACAGUACAAGAAGUGACUAAAGUUCGAAGAAAUCUCUUCAACCAGCAAAUGCUUUCUCCUUCAAAGAGAUCACUAAAGCGGGGGUUGCCUAGAAGCCAUUCUGUGUCAGCUGUGGAAGGUCUAGAAUAUAAACUUGACAAUUUUAAGAAGACUAAAGGUCAUCACAAAUUGCUGACUAAGAAUGUGGCCGAGACGCCAGUCCAUAAGCAAAUCUCCAGAAGGCUGCUUCAGAGACAAAUCAAGGGCAGAUCCUCUGAUCCUGGUCUUGAUAUUGAUGUUGUUGAAGAGUCCCCUGAAAAGGGAAAUGAAAUAAGUUUGAGACGAAGUCCUCGAAUCAAGCAGUUGUCACUUAGCAGGACAAAUUCUGGUUCCUUCUAUUCUUUGUCUCAGCCAAAGUCUCGAAGUGUGCAAAGAGUCUACUCAUUCCAGCAAGACAAGUCAGACCAAAGAGAAAAUUCUCCAGUUCAAAGUAUUCGGUCUCCCAAGAGGCUUCUUUUUGGGGCAAUGUCUGAGAUGAUCAGCCCCUCAGAGAAGGGUUCAGCCCUAAUUAAAAGGCCUUCAAGAAACACGUUGGGUUCAGAGAUACCUACAGCUUACCAGACUCCCAAGAAGAGUUACCAGAAAUCUCCAACCUUUCCUAAAACUACACCAAGAAGGUUCCCUCGUACACCACAAACUCCAUCAUACACUCCAGAAAGGCUGCAAAAAUCCCCUGCAGAAAUGACACCUGCAAAGCAGACAAUUUUUAAAGAGUCCUUAAAAAACUCUUCCUUACAUGGCUGUGACUCACCAUUGGGUUCAAAAAUCACUCCUCAGAAAAGAUACUCCCUGGCAAAAGAAGGUGCCUCUCUUGAAACAGAGAUACCAAGAACUCCCAAAAGGCAAGGUGCUCAGCCGCCUGGGCGUUUGCUGAGUUGUACUUGGCCGCAUUCAGUGAGUUCCGGUCUAGAUAGCUCCUCCUGUCCGGCAUCCCCAGCCCCAUCGACUGCCCGGCCGAAGCGUGACUGUCUGACUCCCGGCAGCCACUCUCUCAGAACACCUCCGAGAGCAGCAGCCUUCCCAGAAACACCUCCGAAUCAAAAACGCCAGAAGCCUCAUGUGCCCAGAGCUUCCAAGGCAGAAGCACCAGCCCAGAUACUAAAGGACGAAGCUGUCAAAACCCCAAAGAGACCAGGGAAUACACCGGUGAUCUCUUCCCCACCUAUUACUCCAAAGAAACUACAUACCUCUCCUUUAUGUGAUAUUUCCAAGAGUCCCUUUAGGAAAUCUUUGCUAGAGUCUUCUCCCCCUGGAGAUCUGGAUUGGAAAAAGCCCCAGAUAUCAUCCAGUGUAGCCACAUCUCUCUCCUGUCCUGUUCCCUCAUCUCCCCCCACAAUCUCACAGAUAGCUACAUCUGAUACAGUCCCCCCACCAUCCCCUUCCCAAACUAGGAAACGGUGUAGAAACACCUCUAAUCCUGAGAGGAGCUUCCUGGAGCGCCAGCCUGACACCUCUGCUGCUCCUGGGCUUGGCGCAACUGACAGCCCCGUCUCCACCACAGACUCUAGAAAGGACCAGAAGCGGGUAGGCCUGUCUCCUCGGUCUCCUCUUAAAAGACGGAGCCACCCAGGCACUGGUUUUGGGAAUGACUGCCAUGUGUCCUCUCCUUUGCUCAUUACAAGUGACACAGAGUAUCUCACUCUCCUCGAUGAAGCUGAACAAAAUGGCAGUGAUAACGUGCAAGGUAACAUCUCACCAGUGGAAGAAGGUGAGGGGCUAAGGACAGUGGUUGCCGAUGAGAAGCCUUCUCUGUCUCACGCUGGGAUUCCUCCGUCUCCUCCUUCCUCUGGGCCCAGCUCUCCUCUGACACCCUCCUACGACCUGUGCCGUACUGCGGACAGAAGGCAGCGCCGGGCUGCAGCACAGCUGGAGAACCCACAGGCACCAGCCUGGCAUUCCAAAGCCUCUGCCAGCUUGCAGACCUACGAAGUUGAGCUGGAGAUGCAAGCUUCUGGCCUUCCCAAGCUUCGGAUUAAAAAGAUAGACCCCAGCUCUUUGUUAGAAGCCGAGUGCCUAAGAAAGGAGGAAAGCUGUCUGGGAGAGGAGAGCUUCUGCCCAGGUCUCAGCAUGCCCAGGGGCAGCAGGGCCUCAGGCAAACCCGAACCCACCUACGUGUCGCCCCCCUGCCUCCGCCCCUCCCACAGCACGCCCGGCAAGAGUGGGAGGCAAACCUACAUCUGCCAGUCCUGUACCCCCACCCGCUGCCCCUCUAGUACCCCCUCUCCCUUUCAGACAGAUGUUGGGGUUCCUUGGACACCAUCCCCCAAGCACAGUGGGAAGAUAACUCCUGACACAAUUAAAGACUGGCCCAGGAGGAAGAGGGCGGUGGACUGCAGUGCCGGCCCCUCUGCUGGAAGAGGCGAGGUCAGCACAGACCUUUCUGGGAGCCUGUGGUUGCUGGAUCCCGAGGGAAAUGAGCGGGGCCUUGAAGUUAGCAUCCACAAGGCUCCCAUCUUGGAGGAUUUCGAGCUCGAGGGGGUGUGUCAGCUGCCAGACCAAUCGCCCCCCAGGAACAGUGUGCCUAAGGCUGAGGAAGCCACCUCAUGGGGGCAGUUGGGGUUGAGUUCCAGGAAGAGACACCUGUCUGCCAAGGAAGAAGCUGAGUAUGGAGCCAAAAGAGUGUGUGACAACCUGAGAGAAGACUCAGAGAGGUCUCCAAGUUCAAGUAUGCAACAGCUCCCCUCCAUAGGAGACGAUGAGGUGUUUGUUCCUGGCUCCACCCCACCUCCCGGCUGUGCCCCGCGGAGCUGCCUCUCUGCCAGCGGUCUCCAGGCUCUGACCCAGUCUCCACUGCUGUUCCAGGGGAGGACACCUUCCUCUCAGUGCAAAGAAAACAGAGGUAAUUUGUCUGCUCGAGGUCCAGGAUCAAGCUCCUGUCCUGUGGGUGACUCUUAAGUUCACGCAGGGUUGCCAGGCAACUCGAUUUUGGAGGAGGCUUGGGAAAGCCAAGUAUGGGAUAGAGGAUUUUGUGCCUGCAGUAUCAUGUGUCCUUCCCAGAGAAACUCCACAUCUGUGGAUUGUGCAAACUGUAAAUCUGAACAGAAACCCCCUCCAAACCCUACUAGAAAAUCUUAAAACAUUCAGUCUUCCUGAAGAUGGUGACAGAGGCGGGCAUACUGCAAUGAACUGCUCACGCAGAACCUGCACAGGAAGGUGUUCUGAGCAGCACGAGUGACAGCAUGUUUGAGCCAGGUCCCCGCAGUGGGUUCCUCCCGUGUUUUCUGUACAUGCGGCAUGGUGACUAUAGUGGCGACCAGCCUUCAGACUCCAGGACUCGCCUUCCAUGACACCAUCUGAAAGAACAGGAUCUGGCCUGCUAACUACACUGUUGGAACUGAAAGGGAUGUAGGAGGUGGUUCUCGUCCCUCAAAACUAGGAUGAAAUCAUGCAAAAUAGCAUAACCCCACAGAGCUGAGAGAAUGUACAGUGUAUCAGACGGGGAAUUCAAACCACAGAUGAGGAGAGGGAUGUAUUUCCCUCCGCUACAGAAGAUUCUCCUUUCAGCCGAGCACCCUCCAGGAGACGCCCCAUCAGCAGAACUUACU